rnacentral:tRNA from 1 species
GGGGUUGUAGCUCAGUGGUAGAGUGCUUGCCUAGCACAUGUGAGGCACUGGGUUCUAUUCUCAGCACCACCU